rnacentral:lncRNA from 1 species
GGGCCACUUAGGUGUUUAAAGAAUCAGAUGUCCUCUCACAAUAAUAAUAGCGAUGAUAGUGAAUUUUUACUUAGCAUUUAAAAGCACAGAGCUGAAGCUGACUGCCCUCCUUACUAUGGGGAACCUUGAAGAUUGUGUGUAUCACAUUUAUCCCCAUCUCCCACCCAUCCCCAAGCCCAUGUCUGCUCCAUGAAAUGAGAGCUUGAUUACUAUCAACACAUGAGCUCCAAGGUGUUUGCAGCCCAGUUAGUGCAACAGAAGUUCAGGAAAGGCCCUGCCAAGAGGGCGAGCCUCAGUAGAACCUCAGUGCUCCCUGGGGCUGUGGCACACAUCUGGGCAAAGGCACUGGAAUGAGGAAGAGACUGGUGGAACUUCAACCUGAGAGACAGCAGUGCAUGUUCUUUCAAGAAUUACAC